AUUGAACGCUGGCGGCAGGCUUAACACAUGCAAGUCGAGCGGAGCGAGGGUGCUUGCACCUUAGCUUAGCGGCGGACGGGUGAGCAAUGCUUAGGAAUCUGCCUAUUAGUGGGGGACAACAUUCCGAAAGGAAUGCUAAUACCGCAUACGCCCUACGGGGGAAAGCAGGGGAUCUUCGGACCUUGCGCUAAUAGAUGAGCCUAAGUCGGAUUAGCUAGUUGGUGGGGUAAAGGCCUACCAAGGCGACGAUCUGUAGCGGGUCUGAGAGGUUGAUCCGCCACACUGGGACUGUGACACGGCCCAGAAUCCUACGGGAGGCAGCAGUGGGGAAUAUUGGACAAUGGGCGGAAGCCUGAUCCAGCCAUGCCGCGUGUGUGAAGAGGGCCUUUUGGUUGUAAAGCACUUUAAGCGAGGAGGAGGCUCUUAAGGUUAAUACCCUUGAUGAGUGGACGUUACUCGCAGAAUAAGCACCGGCUAACUCUGUGCCAGCCGCCGCUGUAACAC
rnacentral:rRNA from 1 species